rnacentral:rRNA from 1 species
GUAACUUUUGGUGCUUGCACCGAAAGACGAGUGGCGAACGGGUGAGUAACGCGUAUGCAAUCUGCCUUUUACUAGAGUAUAGCCCAGAGAAAUUUGGAUUAAUCCUCUAUAAUAUCAUUAAUUCGCAUGAAUAUAUGAUUAAAGCUUCGGCGGUAAAAGAUGAGCAUGCGUCCUAUUAGUUAGUAGGUGAGGUAAUGGCUCACCUAGACUACGAUAGGUAGGGGUCCUGAGAGGGAGAUCCCCCACACUGGUACUGAGACACGGACCAGACUCCUACGGGAGGCAGCAGUGAGGAAUAUUGGACAAUGGACGAAAGUCUGAUCCAGCUAUGCCGCGUGCAGGAUGACGGCCCUAUGGGUUGUAAACUGCUUUUAUACAGGAAGAAAACCUCCGACGUGUCGGAGCUUGACGGUACUGUAAGAAUAAGGAUCGGCUAACUCCGUGCCAGCAGCCGCGGUAAUACGGAGGAUCCAAGCGUUAUCCGGAAUCAUUGGGUUUAAAGGGUCCGUAGGCGGUUUUUUAAGUCAGAGGUGAAAUCCUGCAGCUCAACUGUAGAAUUGCCUUUGAUACUGAAAGACUUGAGUUAUUGUGAAGUGGUUAGAAUGUGUGGUGUAGCGGUGAAAUGCAUAGAUAUCACACAGAAUACCAAUUGCGAAGGCAGAUCACUAACAAUAUACUGACGCUCAGGGACGAAAGCGUGGGUAGCGAACAGGAUUAGAUACCCUGGUAGUCCACGCCGUAAACGAUGGAUACUAGCUGUAUGUCUGCCUCAGGUAGAUGUGUGGCCAAGCGAAAGUGAUAAGUAUCCCACCUGGGGAGUACGAUCGCAAGAUUGAAACUCAAAGGAAUUGACGGGGGCCCGCACAAGCGGUGGAGCAUGUGGUUUAAUUCGAUGAUACGCGAGGAACCUUACCAGGGCUUAAAUGUAACGGGACAGAUCUAGAGAUAGAUCCUUCUUCGGACUCAUUACAAG